rnacentral:rRNA from 1 species
GACGAACGCUGGCGGCGUGCUUAACACAUGCAAGUCGAACGGAAAGGCCCUGCUUUUGUGUGGUGCUCGAGUGGCGAAAGGGUGAGUAACACGUGAGUAACCUGCCCUUGACUUUGGGAUAACUUCAGGAAACUGGGGCUCAUACCGGAUAUGAGCUCCUGCUGCAUGGUGGGGGUUGGAAAGUUUCGGCGGUGGGGGAUGGACUGGCGGCUUAUCAGCUUGUUGGUGGGGUAGUGGGUUACCAAGGCUUUGACGGGUAGCCGGCAUGGGAGGGUGGACAGCCACCUGGGGACUGCGAUACGCACCAGUGUGGAACGGGAGGCAGCAGUGGCGAAUAUUACACAAUGAGGGGGCGCGUGAUGAGAAGGCGUCGCGUGCGUGAUGACCGCUUUCGGGUUGUGAACCGCUUUCGCCUGAGACGAAGCGUGAGUGACGGUAAUGUAUAAAGAAGCACCGGCUAACUACGUG